AGAUCCCUGCUGUGUACGUGGUGAGUCGGCUAGUUUUGAGCCAACACCUUUGAAGAGGGAGCUACGGCUCUGACAGUUACGUACAUGCCCCUUAGGGGACGUACAACCCUGUCAGGCGGGCACCCACCUGCUUGAGAGAGCAGCUUCAAAAACGGCCGACCCACGGCAUGGUGGGGUAUUU
rnacentral:other from 1 species